AUACGGAGGGUGCAAGCGUUAAUCGGAAUUACUGGGCGUAAAGCGUACGUAGGCGGCUCGUUAAGUUAGAUGUGAAAGCCCCGGGCUUAACCUGGGAACUGCAUUUAAAACUGACGAACUAGAGUCGAGUAGAGGGGAGUGGAAUUUCAGGUGUAGCGGUGAAAUGCGUAGAGAUCUGAAGGAACACCAGUGGCGAAGGCGACUCCCUGGACUCAAACUGACGCUGAGGUACGAAAGCGUGGGUAGCAAACGGGAUUAGAAACCCUUGUAGUCC
rnacentral:rRNA from 1 species